rnacentral:rRNA from 1 species
UACGUAGGGGGCGAGCGUUGUCCGGAUUUAUUGGGCGUAAAGAGCGUGUAGGCGGCCAGGUAGGUCUGCUGUGAAAACUCCAGGCUCAACCUGGAGACGCCAUUUGAUACUGCUAUGGCUUGAGUUCGGUAGGGGACCAUGGAAUUCCUGGUGUAGCGGUGAAAUGCGCAGAUAUCAGGAGGAACACCGAUGGCGAAGGCAGUGGUCUGGGCCGAUACUGACGCUGAGGAGCGAAAGCGUGGGGAGCGAACAGG